GCCGCUUGUGAUUGGUGAACGCAGCCGCGGCCGGGAAGUUCGAAGACAAACCAGAGCACAGCGAAGGCACAGGCAGGAACCGCGGCCGCAAGAUGCGUGCAGCUUUAAGAGCGAGACCAUUUCAAAGGCCUAAGGGUUCGGCCAAAAGGCCUGGGAAAUUAGCAGAGGAGUACAUCAGACACAUACUAGGCCAGAUGCCAGGUGGCUAAGGAUUGGAUCAACGUUUUUCAAAGACUGGUGCUAGAUAUCAUCAUAGGCACUUUCAGUCCAGGAGGAAAUCUUAAUUCAAAGUUCUAUCUUGAUUCGAAGUUUGCAUUCAGAAUGGGCCUCCUGCGUUAGACGGCACCGAUUCUGGCAGGCCUUCGUCAGGACCGUCCUCUCCUCCCGUCCGUGAUGGCAGUGUGCACGGUGUAACGGGAUGGCAGAGAUGAAGCCUUCCCAACACCGGACAGCAAACUGUGGCUGAACACCGAAACUGAGGCCAGAUUUCACUUUGGCCUACUUCAGAGUUUGGGAGAAGAUUUCAGUAAGCAAAAUGUAUUUUGAAAAAAUGGUUUCUGAGUUCCUUUUUAGUUCUUUUCUGGAGAACCAACUAGACAUUUUACAGUGAGAUCAAUGAAUUCCCCUUAAGAUCCACAAGAUGGUGCUAUGAAGCGGCAUUUAGAAAAAUUUUAAAAAUCAUUUGGCUUCUAGAAGCACACUUUGAAGCAGGAUCAAGUCAAACAUCAUUUAAUGACAUCAGCUACGGAUGAACCUGUCUUUAAAAGGCUGGGGCGAAGCAGACGUGUUGACAGAAAGGGCACCUUUACUCCUAAUGCUACUUCUAAAUACUCUAUUUUUCAAAUUAUACAUGUUAACUUUGCUUUCGAUCUCAGGUUUUAAAAUUACUUUAUGAGAACACUAAGGGUUGAAUUUGGAUCUCAGCAAGGUUAAAUCGCAAUGGAGAAAUACUGAACUGAAACGGAGAGCACGUUUCUAAUCCCUGCUCUCCACGACAUCUCUGCAUGGGGUCAGGCUCUGUCCCUCCUGUUUCUCGGCAGGCGGGUGUCUGCCCCAGGGGGUGUGGCAAUGUCCAGAUGCAGUUCUGGGGUCACAGCUGGGUGGGCGCUCAGGGUGCUGUUGUGGGUGAGGCCCGGGAUCUGCUCCUAGUCCUGCAGGGCGAAGGAAGUGCCCCGACCUCAGCCCUCGAACGCCAGGCUGAGCACCUGACCCCUUCACUCAUUCCCUGCUGGUUGUCUGUCUGUUCACUAACUUUCAUUCCUGUGACACGGAGUUAGCCAUCUGUCAGUGCAUUCAUUCAUUUCCUAGCACAUUGUUACAAAGUGUCUACCAUGACUCAAGAUUGGACCCAGCUUUAGAGAUGAAAAGAAUGAUCUCAUUCCUAUUCAGUCUAACAGGGGAGAGAGAUGCUUAGGAAAUAGCAUAAUAAACGAUCUGUAUUUUGCUCCCAAGUGUGAACAUUCUGGGAACAGGGACAUCUAGCAGUGAAGCUUGGGCCAGCUGUGAGGACCCGGCAGGCUGCCCACGAGCUGUGGGUUGGGAAAGGGGCGGGAAGGGACCCGUGAGGUGGUGCGCAGCACACAGCCCAGCCGGGGCCAGGGAGGCCCGCUUUGCUCAGUGUGCAUCACUGUGGACGCGAAAGAGCAUCCCAGGAGAGCCGGAUGAGAAGACCCUAAAAGUUAACAGGAGAAUGGGAGAGGGCGGCGGCAGCACGUCCCCUCUGGGGUCUGGGCUUCACAGCCUUGGGGCUUUGGGGAGCCCCAUGUCCAAGUUUCUUUUAGCUGUAAAACUUCAUUCUGUUAGUCUAAAGCGAACCCCUUAGACUGCAUAGUGACUAUCAGCAACGGUCACAGCUAUGAAAAAAAUAUCCUUUUUAAUAAUAUAAAGUUAUGCUGUCACAGAUAUUUACUUUCAUUAUAAUGAAUAAAAUAUAUUUUUAUUGAUCUAUUUGGGUUUUUUUAAAAAGCUGGACAGACCUCAGAAGAUCAAGUCAGGUUUGGGUCUUGUGGAUGGUUCAUAACUAUGCUAAAACCAGGAAGGUCGCCCCAGGGUGAAUUCUUAAAAUACUUGUCCCUCAGCCCUCUCCAGUCCUGUGCUUUUACCAAUAAGCUCUAGAAAUCUAAUUAGGUCUGAGUAGUUUAAUGUAUGUUUUAUA